rnacentral:tRNA from 1 species
GGGGAUGUAGCUCAGUGGGUAGGGUGCUCGCCUCACAUGCACAAGGCCCUGGGUUCAAUCCCCAGCACCACCG